AAGUAGUGAAGUGACUUUCAUCAAGCUUGAGGAAGUCACCAGCACCACAAUAAGAGUGAGCUGGAGUGGAAUUAAUCUCAUUGCCCAGAUGUCAUACAAAGUGAAGCUGAAAUCAGAAAAUGGCCACAAUAUCAUUGAAAGAAACGUGACUAUAACCAGGACAGAAUUUACAAAUCUGGAUCCUGGAGUGAAGUACACUGUACUCAUAGAAAUGACUCCAUGCCAUGGGAAGAAAGUGCUUUCAAAAAUAAUUACGACUGCUGCAAACGUUUACACUGCAGUGACCCGGAUUACAACUGUUGAGUUUGUGUCUGCAUAUGGGAACACUACUAGUCCACAAUAUAUAGAAUUUGCUGCAAACUUCACACGAGAGAUUGAAAAGAAUCUUCCAGCAAACUUCCAGAGUCUCAUUGAGUCAAAGCAAAUGAUGGUGGUGAUAAAGAGCAUUCGCCAAGGGAGUGUGAUUGUUGAUUUCGACA